UUUCAUUUAUACGGAAACCUUUUAAUUCCAUACCAAAUUUGUUCAGUGUAGCCGGGAUAGGGUAGACUAUGCAGAUCGACAGAAACCGAGAUUCGAAUCGCAGUCAGAGCUUCAGCUAAUGUGGCAUUUUGACAGGAAGCGGCAAAUGCAGCCAAACAGCCAACAGGCUUGGCUAAUGGACACGUCCUCUGAUAAGCCACGAAUAGGAGCCGAAAGGGUGCAGGAUCUGGUUUCUUCCUUGUGGGCGGGGGAGGACCCAAAAGUGCCUCAAGCUAAAAGCAAAAGUCACUGAUUGGAAGGACAUUGAGGUUUGGAGGGAUCACAUUUUCAGGAAACCCAAUAAGGUUCCUUUGCACAAAAUAGAGCAUUGCCAGUUCGUUCCUGGCUUUUACGGGCGAAGGGUGCAUUUCGGGUCGGAAUCCUCUCGAAAUACGGGAAAACACACAACUAAGGGAAAUGCAAGAAAUUUCGCCGUUGAACUCAAGUAGCUAUCAUACACGUAAAUAUGGCUGUCGCUGCACAGAUAACGCUAACACCGCUGAACUUUCACCGAUCUCCCCCACACCCAAACACACACACCAACAACACUGGAGUUUUCUUUGGCUUUCUCCGGAUUGCCAUUUCCCUUUUGCCCUGCGUGGCAGCACAUUUAUGCAUUUGCUAUUUUUGCAAAGGACACACAGGCAAGCAGACAUAUGUACACGCGUGCACACACACACGGACAGAGGGAAACAAAAUCCAAAUAUUAUUGAAAACCAAAAUUUCAAGGUAAACACAGCUGCAGUUUUGGCAACAGGAAAGGACUUUCUGGAGUAAGCGUAAAAUACGUUUUGUCACAAUAUUUUAAACUGCAGCAGCGGCAGUGGCAGUGGCAGCGG